rnacentral:misc_RNA from 1 species
GCUGAAGCUUCAUUUUCAUCUCUGUUCCGUGUUCGAUCUGCUGCGCUUGUUUCAGUUAUGGCGUAGGACUCUGUUUGGCUUUGUUUUGUGUUGUGGUUAUCCCGUGUUUGUGUUAAUGUCUGUAGGUGAGGAGUCGAGAAAUAAGGUUAUAGAUCUAUGGAGUGCGAGUUGAUCGGUGGUUUUGCUUUGAAAUUUCUUACUACUAUAAUAAGUGUGUUCAGUUUCUUUACAAGGAAUUAGCGUACAAAUUGAGAUCAUCAUUCAUGUAAUCCUGUAUGAAAUAAUGUUGUAAUCCUCAUUCAUUCAUGUAGUCAAG